rnacentral:rRNA from 1 species
UACUUAGGGUCCGAGCGUUGUCCGGAAUUAUUGGGCGUAAAGGGCUCGUAGGCGGUCCGUCACGUCGGGAGUGAAAACUCAGGGCUCAACCCUGAGCGUGCUUCCGAUACGGGCGGACUAGAGGUAUGCAGGGGAGAACGGAAUUCCUGGUGUAGCGGUGGAAUGCGCAGAUAUCAGGAGGAACACCGGUGGCGAAGGCGGUUCUCUGGGCAUUACCUGACGCUGAGGAGCGAAAGCAUGGGGAGCGAGCAGG